UACGGAGGGUGCAAGCGUUAUCCGGAUUUACUGGGUUUAAAGGGUGUGUAGGCGGGCUUUUAAGUCAGUGGUGAAAUCUCCGGGCUCAACCCGGAAACUGCCAUUGAUACUAUUAGUCUUGAAUUUUGUUGAGGUAGGCGGAAUAAGUCAUGUAGCGGUGAAAUGCAUAGAUAUGACUUAGAACACCAAUUGCGAAGGCAGCUUGCUAAACAAUAUUGACGCUGAGGCACGAAAGCGUGGAGAUCAAACAGG
rnacentral:rRNA from 1 species